GCCGGGUGCGGUGGCUCACACCUGUAAUCCCAGCACUUUGGGAGGCUGAGUUGGGCGGAUCACCUGAGGUCAGGAGUUUGAGACCAGCCUGACCAACAUGGAGAAACCCCAUCUCUA
ensembl:misc_RNA Metazoa_SRP Metazoan signal recognition particle RNA